UCCCUGGUGGUCCAACAGUUAAGACAUUGCACUCCCAAUGCAGGGGGCCCAGGUUCGAUCCCUGGUUAGGGAA